GCAUAUCAAUAAGCGGAGGAAAAGAAACCAACUGGGAUUACCUUAGUAACGGCGAGUGAAGCGGUAAAAGCUCAAAUUUGAAAUCUGGUACUUUCAGUGCCCGAGUUGUAAUUUGUAGAAUUUGUCUUUGAUUAGGUCCUUGUCUAUGUUCCUUGGAACAGGACGUCAUAGAGGGUGAGAAUCCCGUUUGGCGAGGAUACCUUUUCUCUGUAAGACUUUUUCGAAGAGUCGAGUUGUUUGGGAAUGCAGCUCAAAGUGGGUGGUAAAUUCCAUCUAAAGCUAAAUAUUGGCGAGAGACCGAUAGCGAACAAGUACAGUGAUGGAAAGAUGAAAAGAACUUUGAAAAGAGAGUGAAAAAGUACGUGAAAUUGUUGAAAGGGAAGGGCAUUUGAUCAGACAUGGUGUUUUUUGCAUGCACUCGCCUCUCGUGGGCUUGGGCCUCUCAAAAAUUUCACUGGGCCAACAUCAAUUCUGGCAGCAGGAUAAAUCAUUAAGAAUGUAGCUACUUCGGUAGUGUUAUAGCUUUUUGGAAUACUGUUAGCCGGGAUUGAGGACUGCGCUUCGGCA
rnacentral:rRNA from 1 species